GGAGUGGCGCGCAGUUGUCGCCACCACUUGGCUUCCGGCACGUGGGGCAGAUGUUUCCAUUCCCACGGCGGCAGCGGAAGAGGGAGGGCGAAUGAACCUUCCAGGUUGGACCAACAUGUCCAGGCCUCUGUGUCCCUGCACUGAGCACUCAUGAAGUGCUGUCCAUCCUGGGACAGGGCAGAGUCGGCGCUGGGAAGAGGCGUGGUCUGCCCAGAGAGGGGGUGGGGCCUGUCCUGGAAAUGGGCGGGGCAUGCCCUGGUAGAGGGGCGUGGUCUGUCUUGGGAAGGAAGGUGCGUGGCCCCCACAGGCAACAUUCCUCUGGGGCAAUCCCGGCGCACACCUCAGCGGAGGUGAAGGCUGACUUCCCACACCCAAUGGCUGGGACUGGGGAGUUCUUUCCUAGACUGCCAUCCGGGCGCCCCUCACCCUCUUGCUGCUCAGCUCCAGGUCGUCGUGGGUUCAGGGCUCAGCUGCACGCUCCUGCCCGCGCCCUGGGCGUGAUGGCACCCCCAGCCCCUGCCAUUCUUCCCCCUCACCCCCUCUCCCUGCCAC
rnacentral:lncRNA from 1 species